rnacentral:rRNA from 1 species
AAGUCGUAACAAGGUUUCCGUAGGUGAACCUGCGGAAGGAUCAUUAAUGAAUUUUAGGACUCUCUUUUUAGAGGUCCGACCCCUUCAUUUCCAUACACUGUGCACACACUUCUUUUCACACAUUUUAACACUAUAGUAUAAGAAUGUAACAGUCUCUUUAUUGAGCAUAAAUAAAAAUAAAACUUUCAGCAACGGAUCUCUUGGCUCUCGCAUCGAUGAAGAACGCAGCGAAUUGCGAUAAGUAAUGUGAAUUGCAGAAUUCAGUGAAUCAUCGAAUCUUUGAACGCACCUUGCACUCUUUGGUAUUCCGAAGAGUAUGUCUGUUUGAGUGUCAUGAAACUCUCAACCCCCCUAUUUUGCAAUGAGAUGGGCGUGGGCUUGGAUUAUGACUGUUGUCGGCGUAAUUGCCGGCUCAGUUGAAAUACACGAGCAACCCAUUUGAAAUAAACGCGUUUGACUUGGCGUAAUAAUUAUUUCGCUAAGGACGUUUUCUUCAAAAGUAAGAGGUGCUUCUAAUGCGCUAUUACAGCACUUUAAAUUUUAGACCUCAAAUCAGUCAGGACUACCCGCUGAACUUAAGCAUAUCAAUAAGCGGAGGAAAAGAAACUAACAAGGAUUCCCCUAGUAACGGCGAGUGAAGUGGGAAAAGCUCAACUUUGAAAUCUGGUACUUUCAGUAUCCGAAUUGUAGUCUCAAGAAGUGUUUUCUGUGCCGGUCCAUGUAUGAGUCUGUUGGAACACAGCGUCAUAGAGGGUGACAACCCCGUUCAUGACAUGGAUCCCGGUGCUUUGUGAUACACUCUCGAAGAGUCGAGUUGUUUGGGAAUGCAGCUCAAAUUGGGUGGUAAAUUCCAUCUAAAGCUAAAUAUUGGCGAGAGACCGAUAGCAAACAAGUACCGUGAGGGAAAGAUGAAAAGCACUUUGGAAAGAGAGUUAACAGUACGUGAAAUUGUUGAAAGGGAAACGAUUGAAGUCAGACGUGCGUGAUGCGGUUCAGCUUUAGUUCGCUAGAGUGUACUCCGUAUCUUUGCAGGCCAGCAUCGGUUUUGUUAGUCGGAUAAAGGUUUGAGAAAUGUGGCAUCUUCGGAUGUGUUAUAGUCUCAGACUGAAUACGAUUGAUGGGACCGAGGAACGCAGCGCGCCGCAAGGCAAAGGUUCCGACCUUUUCGCGCUUAGGAUGCUGGUGAAAUGGCUUUAAACGACC